UACGUAGGGUGCAGGCGUUUAAUCGGAAUUACUGGGCGUAAAGCGUGCGCAGGCGGUCUUUUUAAGUCAGAUGUGAAAUCCCCCGGGCUUAACCUGGGAACUGCGUUUGAAACUGGAAGGCUAGAGUGUGGCAGAGGGGGGGUGGAAUUCCACGUGUAGCAGUGAAAUGCGUAGAUAUGUGGAGGAACACCGAUGGCGAAGGCAGCCCCCCUGGGCUAACACUGACGCUCAUGCACGAAAGCGUGGGGAGCAAACAGG
rnacentral:rRNA from 1 species